rnacentral:rRNA from 1 species
AACGCGUAGGAAUCUGCCUGACAGUGGGGGAUAACUUAGGGAAACUUAAGCUAAUACCGCAUACGCCCUACGGGGGAAAGUGGGGGACUCUUGUAGCCUCACGCUGAUAGAUGAGCCUGCGUCCGAUUAGCUAGUUGGCGGGGUAAUAGCCCACCAAGGCGACGAUCGGUAGCUGGUCUGAGAGGACGAUCAGCCACACUGGGACUGAGACACGGCCCAGACUCCUACGGGAGGCAGCAGUGGGGAAUAUUGGACAAUGGGCGCAAGCCUGAUCCAGCAAUGCCGCGUGUGUGAAGAAGGCCUGCGGGUUGUAAAGCACUUUCGGGGGGGAAGAAAAGUUAGCUGCUAAUAUCAGCUAAUCUUGACGUUACUCCAAUAAGAAGCACC